CACGGCGCACGGGUGCGUAACACGUGGGCAAUCUGCCCUCCGGUGGGGAAUAACCCCGCGAAAGCGGGGCUAAUUCCGCAUAACAUUCCCUGGACUCUGGUUCGGGGAUUCAAAGCAGCAAUGCGCCGGAGGAGGAGCCCGCGCCCGAUUAGCUAGUUGGUGAGGUGACGGCUCACCAAGGCAAUGAUCGGUAGCUGGUCUGAGAGGAUGGCCAGCCACACUGGAACUGAGACACGGUCCAGACUCCUACGGGAGGCAGCAGUGGGGAAUCUUGCGCAAUGGGCGAAAGCCUGACGCAGCGACGCCGCGUGGGGGAUGAAGCUUCUCGGAGUGUAAACCCCUUUCGACCCGGACGAAACGCCCGCAAGGGUUUGACGGUACGGGUAUAAGAAGCCCCGGCUAACUACGUGCCAGCAGCCGCGGUAAGACGUAGGGGGCCAGCGUUGCUCGGAAUUACUGGGCGUAAAGGGUUCGUAGGCGGUGCGGUAAGUCGGAAGUGAAAUCUCUGGGCUUAACUCAGAGGCUGCUUUCGAAACUGCCGUGCUAGAGUGCGGGAGAGGCGAGUGGAAUUGCAGGUGUAGCGGUGAAAUGCGUAGAUAUCUGCAGGAACACCCGUGGCGAAGGCGGCGCGCUGGACCGUUACUGACGCUGAGGAACGAAAGCUAGGGGAGCAAACAGGAUUAGAUACCCUGGUAGUCCUAGCCCUAAACGAUCAGGACUUGGGGUGCCUUCCGUUCGGAAGUCGUCCCGGAGCUAACGCGUUAAGUCCUGCACCUGGGGAGUACGGUCGCAAGACUGAAACUCAAAGGAAUUGACGGGGGCCCGCACAAGCGGUGGAACAUGUGGUUCAAUUCGA
rnacentral:rRNA from 1 species